GGAGAGAGUGGCAAAUGAAAGUGUGAGUUGUUAAUAUUUUGUCGGUUAGUUUGAUAAUUUAAAUACUUAUUUUUUAUUGGAUGCUUGGUGCUUGUGUAAAUGUUAAGUAGUGAACUGCAUUGUUGGACUAGUUAUGAGAAAAGUCCAUGACUUUUUUGGGUCCUUUAUUGAAUGGAUUAUCAACUUUCCACUCUUGUCAUUGUAGGUUGAAGGGCUAAUGAUGGACAUU
rnacentral:misc_RNA from 1 species